rnacentral:rRNA from 1 species
CCUACGGGUGGCAGCAGUGAGGAAUAUUGGUCAAUGGGCGCGAGCCUGAACCAGCCAAGUCGCGUGAGGGAAGACGGUCCUAUGGAUUGUAAACCUCUUUUGUCGGGGAGCAAAAGACGCCACGCGUGGCGUUCCGAGAGUACCCGUAGCAUAAGCAUCGGCUAACUCCGUGCCAGCAGCCGCGGUAAUACGGAGGAUGCGAGCGUUAUCCGGAUUUAGUGGGUUUAAAGGGUGCGCAGGCGGAAGAUCAAGUCAGCGGUAAAAUUGAGAGGCUGAACCUGUUCGAGCCGUUGAAACUGGUUUUCUUGAGUGAGUGAGAGGUAUGCGGAAUGCGUGGUGUAGCGGUGAAAUGCAUAGAUAUCACGCAGAACUCCGAUUGCGAAGGCAGCAUACCGGCGCGCAACUGACGCUCAUGCACGAAAGUGUGGGUAGCGAACAGGAUUAGAUACCCGUGUAGUC